UACAGAGGUCCCAAGCGUUGUUCGGAUUCACUGGGCGUAAAGGGUGCGUAGGUGGCCGGGUAAGUCUGACGUGAAAUCUCCGAGCCUAACUCGGAAACUGCAUCGGAUACUAUCCGGCUUGAGGAUUGGAGGGGGGACUGGAAUACUUGGUGUAGCAGUGAAAUGCGUAGAUAUCAAGUGGAACACCAGUGGCGAAGGCGAGUCCCUGGACAAUUCCUGACACUGAGGCACGAAAGCUAGGGGAGCAAACAGG
rnacentral:rRNA from 1 species